CCUACGGGCGGCAGCAGUGGGGAAUAUUGGACAAUGGGGGGAACCCUGAUCCAGCCAUGUCGCGUGUGUGAAGAAGGCCCUCGGGUUGUAAAGCACUUUCAGUGAGGAAGAACGCCUGGUGGUUAAUACCCAUCAGGAAAGACAUCACUCACAGAAGAAGCACCGGCUAACUCCGUGCCAGCAGCCGCGGUAAUACGGAGGGUGCGAGCGUUAAUCGGAAUUACUGGGCGUAAAGCGCGCGUAGGUGGCUUGAUAAGCCGGUUGUGAAAGCCCCGGGCUCAACCUGGGAACGGCAUCCGGAACUGUCAAGCUAGAGUGCAGGAGAGGAGGGUAGAAUUCCCGGUGUAGCGGUGAAAUGCGUAGAGAUCGGGAGGAAUACCAGUGGCGAAGGCGGCCUUCUGGACUGACACUGACACUGAGGUGCGAAAGCGUGGGUAGCAAACAGGAUUAGAUACCCCGGUAGUC
rnacentral:rRNA from 1 species